UACAGAGGUGGCAAGCGUUGUUCGGAAUUACUGGGCGUAAAGGGCGCGUAGGCGGCCUUCUAAGUCAGACGUGAAAUCCCCAGGCUUAACUUGGGAACUGCGUCUGAUACUGGGAGGCUAGAGUGCGGGAGAGGGAUGCGGAAUUCCAGGUGUAGCGGUGAAAUGCGUAGAUAUCUGGAGGAACACCGGUGGCGAAGGCGGCAUCCUGGACCGACACUGACGCUGAGGCGCGAAAGCUAGGGUAGCAAACGGG
rnacentral:rRNA from 1 species